CCUACGGGGGGCUGCAGUGGGGAAUAUUGGGCAAUGGUCGCAAGCCUGACCCAGCACCGCCGCGUGAAGGAAGAAGGCUUUCGGGUUGUACACUUCUUUUCUGAGGGACGAAGAAAGUGACGGUACCUCAGGAAUAAGCCACGGCUAACUACGUGCCAGCAGCCGCGGUAAUACGUAGGUGGCAAGCGUUAUCCGGAUUUAUUGGGUGUAAAGGGCGUGUAGGCGGGAAAGCAAGUCAGAUGUGAAAACUCAGGGAUCAACCCUGAGCCUGCAUUUGAAACUGUUUGUGUUGAGUGCUGGAGAGGCAAUCGGAAUUCCGUGUGUAGCGGGGAAAUGCGUAGAUAUACGGAGGAACACCAGUGGCGAAGGCGGAUUGCUGGACAGUAACUGACGCUGAGGCGCGAAAGCGUGGGGAGCAAACAGGAUUAGAUACCCCUGUAGUC
rnacentral:rRNA from 1 species